GACGAACGCUGGCGGCGUGCUUAACACAUGCAAGUCGAACGAAGUGGCGAACGGGUGAGUAACGCGUAAUCAACCUGCCCUUCAGAGGGGGACAAAAGUUGGAAACGACUGCUAAUACCGCAUACUGAAGGAGGGGAGGGCGUCGGAUAGGUUAGUUGGGGGGGUAACGGCCCACCAAGGCGAUGAUCAGUAGCCGGUCUUGGGAGAUGAACGGCCACAUUGGGACUGAGACACGGCCCAGACUCCUACGGGAGGCAGCAGUUGGGAAUCUUCCGCAAUGGACGGAAGUCUGACGGAGCAACGCCGCGUGAGUGAUGACGGCCUUCGGGUUGUAAAGCUCUGUUAAUCGGGACGCGGUACCGGAAUAGAAAGCCACGGCUAACUACGUGCCAGCAGCCGCGGUAAUAC
rnacentral:rRNA from 1 species